rnacentral:rRNA from 1 species
AGGACGAACGCUGGCGGCGUGCUUAACACAUGCAAGUCGAGCGGAAAGGCCUUUCGGGGUACUCGAGCGGCGAACGGGUGAGUAACACGUGAGUAAUCUGCCCAUCGCUUCAGGAUAGCCAUCGGAAACGGUGAUUAAUACUGGAUAUGACAUUCCUUCGCAUGUUGGGGUGUGGAAAGUUUUUUCGGCGGUGGAUGUGCUCGCGGCCUAUCAGCUUGUUGGUGGGGUAAUGGCCUACCAAGGCUUUGACGGGUAGCCGGCCUGGAGACGGGGUGACCGGCCAACGACGUGGGACUGAGACACGGCCCAGACUCCUACGGGAGGCAGCAGUGGGAAUAUGGACAAUGGGCGAAGCUGAUCCAGCAACGCCGCGUGAGGGAUGGACGGCCUUCGGGUUGUAAACCUCUUUCAGCACAGACGAAGUUUUGCUUUUUGGGUGAAGUGACGGUAUGUGCAGGAAGAAGGACCGGCAACUACGUGCCAAGCAGCCGC